CCCUUAGACGUUCUGGGCCGCACGCGCGCUACACUGACCAGUGCAACAAGCAUCCGUCCUUGGCCGACAGGCCCGGGCAAUCUUUGAACGCUGGUCGUGAUGGGGAUAGACUUUUGCAAUUUUUGGUCUUCAACGAGGAAUUCCUAGUAAACGCAAGUCAUCAACUUGCAUUGAUUGCGUCCCUGCCCUUUGUACACACCGCCCGUCGCACCUACCGAUUGAAUGGUCCGGUGAAGCCUCCGGAUUGGCGCGCACCUCGGUGCCGCCGAGAAGUUGGCUAAACCUUACCAUUUAGAGGAAGGUGAAGUCGUANCA
rnacentral:rRNA from 1 species